rnacentral:sRNA from 1 species
UAGUACCACAUCAGUUAGUUACAGGAAGUGCUGACAGGAAGAUUCGUCAGUACGAUGAUAGAGCAGGUCUAACAGCUUGCUACACUCUCAUUGGUCACACAGCUAAGGUCAACACUGUUCAGAUGGAUGACUGGAAGAUUGUGUCCGGCGAUGAUGGGGGAUUUGUGUAUGUCUGGGACCAAAGAAUGUGUCGCAAAUUGUGGGAUAUUUAUAACAGGCAUCCUGUUGGUUAUUGUCACUUUGAUGAUCGGAUGUUAAUUAUCAGCAACAUACCAUACCAGAAAUUUCCCCACCAGGGGGAGUUUGAGACUGUGUCAUCCUUGAGGUAAGAACAAUUUCUUGGCUUCAGUUUUUAAAGCGGUGAAAAAGUUUUGAUAAUAGUACAGUCUAUAUUUAGAAAUGGUUGAAAUUAGACCAAACUUCAUGUGUUCCUUGUGGUUGUCUAUGUUAUAUUUGUUCCUUGUGGUUGUCUAUGUUAUAUUGGUUCCUUUUGGUUGUCUAUGUUAUAUUUGUUCCUUGUGGUUGUCUAUGUUAUAUUGGUUCCUUUUGGUUGUCUGUUAUAUUUGUUCCUUGUGGUUGUCUAUGUUAUAUUGGUUCCUUUUGGUUGUCUAUGUUAUAUUGGUUCCUUGUGAUUGUCUACCCUAGUGAUUUUUUUUUCACAACACUGAUCAAAUUAAAUUUACUACAACUUGUUUUUUUAUGUUUUUUUUUACUGUAUUCCUGUGAGCUCUAGGGGGAGCAUAAGGCCUCAACCACA